AGUUUUCUUUUCUUGUUAGCCGUACUUUCUGGAAUCUCAUUUCUCUUGGGAUCCUAUUCUUCCUCCUAAACUCUCUGGUUCUUCUAUCUCUUCAAAAUAUUCAAUUUUGGUUAUCAAAGCUCCUCAUAAUAAUUAAUCUAUCUCAAUUUUAGAUUUCAAGAAAGGUGCUUUUGAGCAAGUCACACAUAUAAUCAACUGCAAAGGGUUUCAAGUAAGAAGGUGUUUGACACAAAUAAAUAGGCACCAACCGAGUUCACUCCUCACUCCUCUGUUCUCUUGUACCGGGAAUACUCCAAUCUGCUAGCAGAGUUAAACGGAUCACCAAUUGUGUUCAAGUUAAUGAGAUUUUCUUCCCAGUGGAACCAAAUAAUGGAACUUCUUAUUAAUUACUAGCUUCUUUCUUUUGACGUCUAAGGCAGAGCCUAUUGUAGUUCAAACUUCUUUGUAGAUACUAAAAUGAUGCAGCCUUAUUAAAGCAGCCAAAAGGGAAAUGGAGGUACUACGCAUGAAACUUCAGGGAUCACAUUCCGAGGUGCUUGAGCAAAGAUUUACUGAAACUUAGAAAUGACCUACUGACGUAUGAAUUAGAGCGAGAGAAGCUUGCCAUGGAAUUGGAGGAGGAUAAAAGAUCACAGAAAGAGUGACACUCCACCUAGGACACAAUGAGAUGCUUGGAUUUCAUCUAAAUCAAUCCUUGCUUUUGGUUUGGUUAGCCAUUUUCUUAAAUAUUACUCCAAUUUUGAAGCCUAAAUUGUUUUGGAGUCUUUAGGUGUGUUCAACCUUCUUAUCUUUGGUAAGUGUCAUCUUCUGCAGGAUUUAAAUUUUCCAGUUAGCUUCUUUGCAUUAAAAUGUCAAGUUUUCGAGGUCUAUGGUUGCUCUUUCGGCUGGUAAUAUGUCAAUGUCAAGAUUUGUACGAUCAUCUUGGAUAUGUCUAUCUCCCUUUUCACUGAUUUUUAUUAUCUAUGUAUAAAAAUCAUAUGUGUUUAUAUUUAUCUGAGUUGUUUUAACCUAUGAAAUGUGCCUUUAAAGUUGAAA